AUGAUGGCUUCAGCAGUACAUAUACUAAAAUUGGAACAAUACAGAGAUUAGCAUGGCUCCUGUUUAAGGAUAAUGAGGGAUCCUGCCUGACUAUCUAGACUACUAU
rnacentral:snRNA from 1 species